GUGGUAAAAAGUAUAAGUAAAGAUUCCUUGAUUAAUUUAGGGUUAUUUUUAGUUUAGGUUGAGAUGUAUUUUUAUAUGUCUGGAUUGAUGAUUAGAAAUAAUUUUAGUUUAUUUAAUUAACGAGUCUUGGUAAUUUUUGAAAACCGGUGUUGAGAUAUAAUUUUGAUUGGUUUUAGUUAAUAGAUUAUAGAUUUAUUGAUAUAAGAC
rnacentral:misc_RNA from 1 species